UUAAUUUAAUUAAGUGCUUUACUUAGACGACAUAGUUUAACAAGAGUUUAAUAAGGGCUAUCGACGAGCGCGGACCAGAGGUAUUAAACCUCCGGCGGCCCCUUAUUUCAAAGGGCGGACUCGCCGAAGCAACAAGUAGUAAUAUAGAUAAAGGGUUGGAGGUCGGGCCUAAAAGACCCUAACUCGAUAAUGAUCCUUCCGCAGGUUCACCUACGGAAA
rnacentral:misc_RNA from 1 species